rnacentral:rRNA from 1 species
CGAAUGCUGACAUAAGUAACGAUAAAGCGGGUGAAAAGCCCGCUCGCCGGAAGACCAAGGGUUCCUGUCCAACGUUAAUCGGGGCAGGGUGAGUCGACCCCUAAGGCGAGGCCGAAAGGCGUAGUCGAUGGGAAACAGGUUAAUAUUCCUGUACUUGGUGUUACUGCGAAGGGGGGACGGAGAAGGCUAUGUUGGCCGGGCGACGGUUGUCCCGGUUUAAGCGUGUAGGCUGGUUUUCCAGGCAAAUCCGGAAAAUCAAGGCUGAGGCGUGAUGACGAGGCACUACGGUGCUGAAGCAACAAAUGCCCUGCUUCCAGGAAAAGCCUCUAAGCAUCAGGUAACAUCAAAUCGUACCCCAAACCGACACAGGUGGUCAGGUAGAGAAUACCAAGGCGCUUGAGAGAACUCGGGUGAAGGAACUAGGCAAAAUGGUGCCGUAACUUCGGGAGAAGGCACGCUGAUAUGUAGGUGAAGUCCCUCGCGGAUGGAGCUGAAAUCAGUCGAAGAUACCAGCUGGCUGCAACUGUUUAUUAAAAACACAGCACUGUGCAAACACGAAAGUGGACGUAUACGGUGUGACGCCUGCCCGGUGCCGGAAGGUUAAUUGAUGGGGUCAGCGCAAGCGAAGCUCUUGAUCGAAGCCCCGGUAAACGGCGGCCGUAACUAUAACGGUCCUAAGGUAGCGAAAUUCCUUGUCGGGUAAGUUCCGACCUGCACGAAUGGCGUAAUGAUGGCCAGGCUGUCUCCACCCGAGACUCAGUGAAAUUGAACUCGCUGUGAAGAUGCAGUGUACCCGCGGCAAGACGGAAAGACCCCGUGAACCUUUACUAUAGCUUGACACUGAACAUUGAGCCUUGAUGUGUAGGAUAGGUGGGAGGCUUUGAAGUGUGGACGCCAGUCUGCAUGGAGCCGACCUUGAAAUACCACCCUUUAAUGUUUGAUGUUCUAACGUGGACCCGUGAUCCGGGUUGCGGACAGUGUCUGGUGGGUAGUUUGACUGGGGCGGUCUCCUCCUAAAGAGUAACGGAGGAGCACGAAGGUUGGCUAAUCCUGGUCGGACAUCAGGAGGUUAGUGCAAUGGCAUAAGCCAGCUUGACUGCGAGCGUGACGGCGCGAGCAGGUGCGAAAGCAGGUCAUAGUGAUCCGGUGGUUCUGAAUGGAAGGGCCAUCGCUCAACGGAUAAAAGGUACUCCGGGGAUAACAGGCUGAUACCGCCCAAGAGUUCAUAUCGACGGCGGUGUUUGGCACCUCGAUGUCGGCUCAUCACAUCCUGGGGCUGAAGUAGGUCCCAAGGGUAUGGCUGUUCGCCAUUUAAAGUGGUACGCGAGCUGGGUUUAGAACGUCGUGAGACAGUUCGGUCCCUAUCUGCCGUGGGCGCUGGAGAACUGAGGGGGGCUGCUCCUAGUACGAGAGGACCGGAGUGGACGCAUCACUGGUGUUCGGGUUGUCAUGCCAAUGGCACUGCCCGGUAGCUAAAUGCGGAAGAGAUAAGUGCUGAAAGCAUCUAAGCACGAAACUUGCCCCGAGAUGAGUUCUCCCUGACCCUUUAAGGGUCCUGAAGGAACGUUGAAGACGACGACGUUGAUA